AGAGUUUGAUCCUGGCUCAGAAUCAACGCUGGCGGCGCGCUUAACACAUGCAAGUCGCACGAGAAAGUGGAGCAAUCCAUGAGUAAAGUGGCGUACGGGUGAGUAACACGUGGAUCAUCUACCUCUUAGUGGGGAAUAACCCUGGGAAACCGGGGCUAAUACCGCAUAAGCCUGAGAAGGGAAAGCAGCAAUGCGCUGAGAGAGGAGUCCGCGGCCGAUUAGCUAGUUGGUAGGGUAAUGGCCUACCAAGGCAAUGAUCGGUAGCCGGCCUGAGAGGGCACACGGCCACACUGGCACUGAAACACGGGCCAGACUCCUACGGGAGGCAGCAGUGGGGAAUCUUGCACAAUGGAGGAAACUCUGAUGCAGCGACGCCGCGUGAGCGAUGAAGCCCUUCGGGGUGUAAAGCUCUUUCGACGGGAACGAUAAUGACGGUACCCGGAGAAGAAGCUGCGGCUAACUACGUGCCAGCAGCCGCGGUAAUACGUAGGCAGCAAGCGUUGUUCGGAAUUACUGGGCGUAAAGAGUGUGUAGGCGGUUCUCUAUGUUCGGUGUGAAAUCUCCCGGCUUAACUGGGAGGGUGCGCCGAAAACUGGAGGGCUUGAGUAUGGGAGAGGAAAGCGGAAUUCCUGGUGUAGCGGUGAAAUGCGUAGAUAUCAGGAGGAACACCUGCGGUGUAGACGGCUUUCUGGACCAUCACUGACGCUGAGACACGAAAGCGUGGGUAGCAAACAGGAUUAGAUACCCUAGUAGUCC
rnacentral:rRNA from 1 species